rnacentral:rRNA from 1 species
UACGUGGGGGGCAAGCGUUGUUCGGAAUUACUGGGCGUAAAGGGCUCGUAGGCGGCCAACUAAGUCAGACGUGAAAUCCCUCGGCUUAACCGGGGAACUGCGUCUGAUACUGGAUGGCUUGAGAUUGGGAGAGGGAUGCGGAAUUCCCAGUGUAGUGGUGAAAUACGUAGAGAUUGGGAAGAACACCAGUGGCGAAGGCGGCUAUCUGGACGGUUUCUGACGCUAAGACGCGAAAGCGUGGGGAGCAAACAGG